rnacentral:tRNA from 1 species
UAAGGGUUUCUGUAGUUGAGCUAC